AGAAAAGCAGGGGAUCGCAAGACCUUGCGCUUUUGGAGCGGCCGAUGUCUGAUUAGCUAGUUGGUGAGGUAAAGGCUUACCAAGGCUUCGAUCAGUAGCUGGUCUGAGAGGACGACCAGCCACACUGGGACUGGGACACGGCCCAGACUCCUACGGGAGGCAGCAGUGGGGAAUUUUGGACAAUGGGGGAAACCCUGAUCCAGCCAUGCCGCGUGAGUGAAGAAGGCCUUCGGGCUGUAAAGCUCUUUCAGCCGGAACGAAACGGUCACGGCUAAUACCUGUGAUCACUGACGGUACCGGAAGAAGAAGCACCGGCUAACUACGUGCCAGCAGCCGCGGUAAUACGUAGGGUGCGAGCGUUAAUCGGAAUUACUGGGCGUAAAGCGUGCGCAGGCGGUUUUGUAAGUCAGAUGUGAAAUCCCCGGGCUCAACCUGGGAACUGCGUUUGAAACUACAAGGCU
rnacentral:rRNA from 1 species